rnacentral:rRNA from 1 species
GGAUUGCCCCAGUAACGGCGAGUGAAGCGGCAACAGCUCAAAUUUGAAAUCUGGCCCUCGGGUCCGAGUUGUAAUUUGUAGAGGAUGCUUUUGGCGAGGUGCCUUCCGAGUUCCCUGGAACGGGACGCCAUAGAGGGUGAGAGCCCCGUCUGGUCGGAUACCAAGCCUCUGUAAAGCUCCUUCGACGAGUCGAGUAGUUUGGGAAUGCUGCUCAAAAUGGGAGGUAUAUGUCUUCUAAAGCUAAAUAUUGGCCAGAGACCGAUAGCGCACAAGUAGAGUGAUCGAAAGAUGAAAAGCACUUUGAAAAGAGGGUUAAAAAGUACGUGAAAUUGUUGAAAGGGAAGCGCCUAUGACCAGACUUGGGCCCGGUGAAUCAUCCAGCGUUCUCGCUGGUGCACUUUGCCGGGCACAGGCCAGCAUCAGUUUGGCGCGGGGGAUAAAGGCUUUGGGAAUGUGGCUCCCUCGGGAGUGUUAUAGCCCAUUGCGCAAUACCCUGCGCCGGACUGAGGUACGCGCAUUGCAAGGAUGCUGGCGUAAUGGUCAUCAGCGACCCGUCUUGAAACACGGACCAAGGAGUCGUCUUCGUAUGCGAGUGUUCGGGUGUCAAACCCCUACGCGUAAUGAAAGUGAACGCAGGUGAGAGCUUCGGCGCAUCAUCGACCGAUCCUGAUGUUCUCGGAUGGAUUUGAGUAAGAGCAUACGGGGCCGGACCCGAAAGAAGGUGAACUAUGCCUGUAUAGGGUGAAGCCAGAGGAAACUCUGGUGGAGGCUCGCAGCGGUUCUGACGUGCGAAUCGAUCGUCAAAUAUGGGCAUGGGGGCGAAAGACUAAUCGAACCUUCUAGUAGCUGGUUUCCGCCGAAGUUUCCCUCAGGAUAGCAGUGUUGAACUCAGUUUUAUGAGGUAAAGCGAAUGAUUAGGGACUCGGGGGCGCUAUAUUGCCUUCAUCCAUUCUCAAACUUUAAAUAUGUAAGAAGCUCUUGUUGCUUAAUUGAACGUGAGCAUUCGAAUGUAUCAACACUAGUGGGCCAUUUUUGGUAAGCAGAACUGGCGAUGCGGGAUGAACCGAACGCGAGGUUAAGGUGCCGGAGUGGACGCUCAUCAGACACCACAAAAGGUGUUAGUACAUCUUGACAGCAGGACGGUGGCCAUGGAAGUCGGAAUCCGCUAAGGACUGUGUAACAACUCACCUGCCGAAUGUACUAGCCCUGAAAAUGGAUGGCGCUCAAGCGUCCCACCCAUACCUCGCCCUCAGGGUAGAAACGAAGCCCUGAGGAGUAGGCGGACGUGGAGGUCAGUGACGAAGCCUAGGGC